rnacentral:rRNA from 1 species
GAUGAACGCUGGCUACAGGCUUAACACAUGCAAGUCGAGGGGAAACGACGGGGAAGCUUGCUUCCCCGGGCGUCGACCGGCGCACGGGUGAGUAACGCGUAUCCAACCUGCCUCUGACUGAGGGAUAACCCGUCGAAAGUCGGCCUAAUACCUCAUGGCAUCGUCUGCGGGCAUCCAACGACGAUUAAAGAUUUCAUCGGUCAGGGAUGGGGAUGCGUCUGAUUAGCUUGUUGGCGGGGUAACGGCCCACCAAGGCUACGAUCAGUAGGGGUUCUGAGAGGCAGGUCCCCCACAUUGGAACUGAGACACGGUCCAAACUCCUACGGGAGGCAGCAGUGAGGAAUAUUGGUCAAUGGGCGGGAGCCUGAACCAGCCAAGUAGCGUGCAGGAUGACGGCCCUAUGGGUUGUAAACUGCUUUUAUGCGGGGAUAAAGUGAGGGACGUGUCCUUCAUUGCAGGUACCGCAUGAAUAAGGACCGGCUAAUUCCGUG